GUGCAACUUUUCAAUGGCGGCAUCACUUUUCAUAUUUUCUCAAUCUCAAGCCACUCUGGAAAUGUCGAAGGGAUUUGAGUGAAAAUCGAGUUUGAUACGUUUUUUUUCACCAAUUUCUGUCAAUACUUUGAAACAUCUAUCACUCCAAUGUCCUCGUUAUUUUGAUGAAAUUGCAAGUAUCAGUGGCUUGCUACCUGAGAUGCCAUUGCUGGUGCCCCUGGCUUCCACACAAGCCAGUCGUUCAUUACUUUUCCAUCCAAGAGUCGCUGAGGAAGCUCACAGACUCCUGUCUACUCAUGAUGAUGCCUUUGCAGCUCAACUUCAACAUAAAAUCGACACGAAGACUCCCAAGUCCAUUCCUUGAUAACUUCCUGAGCGUGGUCCCCUGCAAAUGUAAUUGUCCACACUUUGCCGUUGUAUCACACACAUGGAAUCGUUAAUGCUCUUCUAUGCCCGUUAUAUGUCGGGGCCAGGUUCUGAUACGCUACGGCGAACAACAUCUUCAAAAUGUUUAUUGAAGAAUGACAAACUCCUGGCGGAGCUGAAAAGCUGGUACGAUACUCGCCAUCAGUUUUAUUUUCUCCUGAUGCCCAUCAAAAUCGAACAACAUUCAUUCGAGCCUGCGAUUAUACGAUGUGCUGAGUGACGAAGAAAUCGAAACAAUCAAGGAAUUAGCCAAACCACUGUUGGCUCGAUCGAUGGUGCAAGGGAAACUUGGCGUGGGGUACGAAGUUUCAAAUGUUAGGACCUCGAAAACGGCUUGGCUUCCAGAGGGUUUACACCCCUUACCAAAUCAUCUUUCCCUUCUUUGCAAAUUGGACUAAUCACUGGCUUGAAAACCGAUCCUAUUCGCGACGAAGCAGAACUCCUUCAGGUUGCUAAUUACGGGAUUGGUGGACAUUACUCACCUCAUCAUGACUAUCUAAUGAAAGACAAAGCGGAUUUCGAGGUAAUACAAAUUUGUUUGAUUUUAUUUCGGUAGUGAUGCGCCAGUAGCAAGUUUAUUUUUUAAAUUUAAUUUUCUCCUCGAUUAUCCCCUCCAAGGAUUAAAAAUUACUAAUAUUUCUAAUUAAGUAGCAAAACCAACCUCAGAGAUGGGCCAAUUUAAACUCAAAUUUAGUGUACCAUAACAUUUCCUAACGAUAUUUUUAGUGACUGUGUCAAUAAAUUGAUAAGUGACAAUGUCUUCAUCCAGAAUGGCAUCAAUUAUUAGACGUUGAAUUAGUGACUUAACAUUGCAUUGUUUCCAAUCUGUUGGGUGAAAAAAUAACAAUAAAAAAAACGAAAUUAAAUUAUGCUCUGAAAGUUACCAUUACAAAAGAGUUUCUUCUUUUUUUCCAAAGUGAACAUUUCCAACAGUUUAUUAAUCGUGAAUAUUUCGUAUGGGUUGUUUGAGAUAACUUUCCUAAUCCAUUCAACCUCUUGUAGAACAAAAACCUUUGUUUCAACUUUCUAUAUUGCAAAUGCAUGAAAUCAAAUGUAAUAUAACGUAAACAAAACAAAUUAGUGACUUACUUUAGCAGUAUAUUUAUCGCAUAAAACGAGACCAUCUCUUUCGCAUGAAAU